AUUGAACGCUGGCGGCAUGCCUUACACAUGCAAAUCGAACGGUAACGGGCCUUCGGGUGCCGACGAGUGGCGAACGGGUGAGUAAUGCAUCGGAACGUACCUUUCAGUGGGGGAUAACGUAGCGAAAGUUACGCUAAUACCGCAUAUUCUGUGAGCAGGAAAGCAGGGGAUCGCAAGACCUUGCGCUGAUUGAGCGGCCGAUGUCAGAUUAGCUAGUUGGUGAGGUAAAGGCUCACCAAGGCGACGAUCUGUAGCGGGUCUGAGAGGAUGAUCCGCCACACUGGAACUGAGACACGGUCCAGACUCCUACGGGAGGCAGCAGUGGGGAAUUUUGGACAAUGGGGGCAACCCUGAUCCAGCCAUGCCGCGUGAGUGAAGAAGGCCUCGG
rnacentral:rRNA from 1 species